rnacentral:rRNA from 1 species
UACGUAGGGAGCAAGCGUUGUUCGGAAUUACUGGGCGUAAAGUGUGCGCAGGCGGCUGAGCAAGUCGAGUGUGAAAGCCCCGAGCUUAACUUGGGAAUUGCGCUCGAAACUACUUGGCUCGAGUGUGGCAGAGGAAGGUGGAAUUCCACGUGUAGCGGUGAAAUGCGUAGAGAUGUGGAGGAACACCGAUGGCGAAGGCAGCCUUCUGGGCCAACACUGACGCUCAUGCACGAAAGCGUGGGGAGCAAACAGG